rnacentral:rRNA from 1 species
AAUAAACGCUGGCGGCGUGCCUAACACAUGCAAGUCGAGCGAGAAAGCUCCUUCGGGAGUUAGUAAAGCGGCGAACGGGUGAGCAACACGUGAGAAUCUACCCUUUAGUGAAGAAUACCCUCGAGAAAUCGAGGCUAAUACUGCAUACGUCCCUUCGGGGAGAAAGAUGGCCUCUUUGCUAUCGCUAAAGGAUGAGCUUGCGUACUAUUAGCUAGUUGGCGGGGUAAAGGCCCACCAAGGCAAUGAUGGUUAACCGGCCUGAGAGGGUGUACGGUCACACUGGAACUUAGACACGGUCCAGACUCCUACGGGAGGCAGCAGUGAGGAAUCUUGCGCAAUGGGCGAAAGCCUGACGCAGCGACGCCGCGUGGAGGAUGACGGUUUUCGGAUUGUAAACUCCUGUUAAGCGGGAAGAAAGCCUUGUUUCUAAUACAAGCAAGGUAUGACGGUACCGCUAGAGAAAGCACCGGCUAACUUCGUGCCAGCAGCCGCGGUAAAGA